AUACAGAGGGUGCAAGCGUUAAUCGGAUUUACUGGGCGUAAAGCGCGCGUAGGCGGCUAAUUAAGUCAAAUGUGAAAUCCCCGAGCUUAACUUGGGAAUUGCAUUCGAUACUGGUUAGCUAGAGUGUGGGAGAGGAUGGUAGAAUUCCAGGUGUAGCGGUGAAAUGCGUAGAGAUCUGGAGGAAUACCGAUGGCGAAGGCAGCCAUCUGGCCUAACUCUGACGCUGAGGUGCGAAAGCAUGGGGAGCAAACAGGAUUAGAAACCCCGGUAGUCC
rnacentral:rRNA from 1 species